UGGCCCCCUAACAUCAGCUUCGGGGAACCACUGGAACGGUGGCUAAUACCGAAUGUGCAGAAAUGUGAAAUAUUUAUAGAAUGAAAAUGAGCUCGCGUCUGAUUAGCUAGUAGGUGUGGUAAGAGCGCACCUAGGCGACGAUCAGUAGCUGGUCUGAGAGGAUGAUCAGCCACACUGGGACUGAGACACGGCCCAGACUCCUACGGGAGGCAGCAGUGGGGAAUUUUCCGCAAUGGGCGAAAGCCUGACGGAGCAAUACCGCGUGAGGGAGGAAGGCUCUUGGGUUGUAAACCUCUUUUCUCAGGGAAGAAUUUAAUGACGGUACCUGAGGAAUAAGCAUCGGCUAACUCCGUGCCAGCAGCCGCGGUAAUACGGAGGAUGCAAGCGUUAUCCGGAAUGAUUGGGCGUAAAGCGUCCGCAGGUGGCGAUGUAAGUCUGCUGUUAAAGAAUCUGGCUCAACCAGAUAAAGGCAGUGGAAACUACAUGGCUAGAGUGCGUUCGGGGCAGAGGGAAUUCCUGGUGUAGCGGUGAAAUGCGUAGAGAUCAGGAAGAACACCGGUGGCGAAAGCGCUCUGCUAGGCCGCAACUGACACUGAGGGACGAAAGCUAGGGGAGCGAAUGGGAUUAGAUACCCCCAGUAGUCA
rnacentral:rRNA from 1 species